AAACAACUUCUGAACGUCUUCUUCUCCACCAUUCCGUCCGACAACUGCAUUCACCACCACCAACCUUGCGACCAUUCUCUCCAUCGAGGUCAGUUUACAAGGGGAGAUGCUGAUGCGGCGCCUGGAUAUAGAAUAAGGGACGAGGAGGUCGCGAUAGGUCCACUAUUCACUGAUUUGGGAGAGUUGCCAGAGUGCUACUUGGUUUUCCGGUGAACCAAGUAUGUCGAACCAAAGAGGGAGAGCCUGGGGCGCUUCUGAGUGCGGUUCCCUGCGUUGGCUUGGCAAUGUAGCAUAGCACAGGUUUUGGCCAUACAAUCAAGGGAUCUGAAUUGAUCGACUCGGCGCGGAUCAUGCACCACAAGAAAAGACAGUUUCUUCUGCACCAUCAGCACAGAUCAUGCACCACAUAAGAAACAACACAGUUUCUCCCGCACAAACAAUCUCUUUCAGCGAAAUGAGAAUUGCAAACUAUAAAGAUCGUUACGUGAUCUGAGGAGAUGCUGAAAAAUGAGAAUGCUUUCAAUCUUAUCCUA